UUCUCCUACGGGAGGCAGCAGUAGGGAAUCUUCGGCAAUGGGGGCAACCCUGACCGAGCAACGCCGCGUGAGUGAAGAAGGUUUUCGGAUCGUAAAGCUCUGUUGUAAGAGAAGAACGUGUGUGAGAGUGGAAAGUUCACACAGUGACGGUAACUUACCAGAAAGGGACGGCUAAUCUACGUGCCAGCAGCCGCGGUAAUACGUAGGUCCCGAGCGUUGUCCGGAUUUAUUGGGCGUAAAGCGAGCGCAGGCGGUUUAAUAUGUCUGAAGUUAAANGCAGUGGCUUAACCAUUGUUCGCUUUGGAAACUGUUAGACUGAGUCAGAAGGAGAU
rnacentral:rRNA from 1 species